CGGGAUGUAGUUCAGUCCGGUUAGAAUGCCUGCUUUGGGAGCAGGAGGUCGUUGGUUCGAAUCCAGUCAUCCCGA
rnacentral:tRNA from 2 species